GUCUGACCGUGCAGCCAAAAGAGUCCGUGAAUACUUCAAAAUGAGGAGGACAUGCUACAACAAAACAGACUGGGUGAAUGUGAGACUUCGAGGAGGAGUACUGACACAUCCAUUUCAACGGGAUGGUUCUAGCUGAGGAGUAAUGGUCAUCAUGAUCCAGUGUGAUAACUGCAACCACUGGUUCCAUUCUGAAGGCCUGGACAUGACAAAUGAACAGCUGAGCAGUGCUCAGAAGACAGAGUGGAAGUGUGUGCUUUGUGUAACCUAAUUCCACAUGCAGUGAAAGCUACUUGAAUAAUCUGCUUAUAGUUGUUAUUGGUGUUUUGAGGAACACAUGUGUAAAACACAAUGUGUAUAACAUUCUUGCUUUGUGCUCGUACUUCAAGUAUUUCCUUUUUGAUUUUUUUGGGUUGAUUUGUGUGAUGACAGAUAAUGAAUAACAAUAUAUCUAAACUGUGUAGUAGUAAUAUGAGAAAUCAGUAAUCUGAGAAAUGUAAUUUCUCACCCUGACCGGUUGAGGCAGAUGGCCCCGCCCCUCCCUGAGCCUGGUUCUGCCGGUGGUUUCUUCCUGUUAAAAGGGAGUUUUUCCUUCCCAC
ensembl:lncRNA